GCCCAGAUAGCUCAGUUGGGAGAGCGCCAGACUGAAGAUCUGGGGGUCCUCAGUUCGAUCCUGGGUCUGGGCA
rnacentral:tRNA from 1 species